rnacentral:rRNA from 1 species
UAAUACCGCAUAAUACCCACGGGUCAAAGGAGCAAUUCGCUUGAGGAGGGGGUCGCGGCCCGAUUAGUUAGUUGCGGGGUAAUGGCCCCACCCAAGACGGUGAUCGGUAUCCGGCCUGAGAGGGCGCACGGACACACUGGAACUGAAACACGGUCCAGACUCCUACGGGAGGCAGCAGUGGGGAAUUUUGCGCAAUGGGGGAAACCCUGACGCAGCAACGCCGCGUGGAGGAUGAAGUCUCUUGGGACGUAAACUCCUUUCGAUCGGGACGAUUAUGACGGUACCGGAAGAAGAAGCCCCGGCUAACUUCGUG